GUUCUUGCUUCAACAGUACAUAUCUAAAAUUGAUACAGAGAUUAGCAUGACCCCUGUGCAAGGGUGACACAAAUUUGUGAAGUGUUCUGUAUUUUC
ensembl:snRNA U6 U6 spliceosomal RNA